UGAAACACGGACCAAGGAGUCUAACAUGUGCGCAAGUCAUUGGGUGGUAAACCCACGGGCGAAAUGAAAGUAAAAGUCCGCAUUGGUGGACUUAGGUGAGAUCCCGCAAGGGCGCAUCACCGCCUCGUCUUAUCUACUUUGUUAGAGGGGCGACGGAAGAGCGCACAUGUUGGGACCCGAAAGAUGGUGAACUAUGCCUGAGCAGGAUGAAGUCAGAGGAAACUCUGAUGGAGGUCCGUAGCGGUUCUGACGUGCAAAUCGAUCGUCAGACUUGGGUAUAGGGGCGAAAGACUAAUCGAACCAUCUAGUAGCUGGUUCCCUCCGAAGUUUCCCUCAGGAUAGCUGGCGCAUAGAGUGAAACAGUUUUAUCCGGUAAAGCGAAUGAUUAGAGGCCUUGGGGACGAAAUGAUCUCAACCUAUUCUCAAACUUUAAAUGGGUAAGAAGUCUCCCUUGCUUGAUUGAAGGAGAGACAUUGAAUGAAUGUGCCAAGUGGGCCAUUUUUGGUAAGCA
rnacentral:rRNA from 1 species